rnacentral:snoRNA from 1 species
UGAGGUUGCAAUGAGGAUUCACAGCUCCCUCUUCUGAGUUAAAGUUGAGGAAAUCAGCUGGCAGAAUCGAACCUAUGACUUUUUAGCCACCACUGAGUAA